rnacentral:ncRNA from 1 species
ACCAGAUAAAGGCAAAUCUAUUGAAAAGUAGAGGCGCAAAACUACGGAUCUAAGGGCUAAAUGUUUAAUGUCUAUGAUAGCCGGGUUACCUAG